rnacentral:rRNA from 1 species
UAGGGAAUCUUCGGCAAUGGACGGAAGUCUGACCGAGCAACGCCGCGUGAGUGAAGAAGGUUUUCGGAUCGUAAAGCUCUGUUGUAAGAGAAGAACGAGUGUGAGAGUGGAAAGUUCACACUGUGACGGUAUCUUACCAGAAAGGGACGGCUAACUACGUGCCAGCAGCCGCGGUAAUACGUAGGUCCCGAGCGUUGUCCGGAUUUAUUGGGCGUAAAGCGAGCGCAGGCGGUUAGAUAAGUCUGAAGUUAAAGGCUGUGGCUUAACCAUAGUAGGCUUUGGAAACUGUUUAACUUGAGUGCAAGAGGGGAGAGUGGAAUUCCAUGUGUAGCGGUGAAAUGCGUAGAUAUAUGGAGGAACACCGGUGGCGAAAGCGGCUCUCUGGCUUGUAACUGACGCUGAGGCUCGAAAGCGUGGGGAGCAAACAGGAUUAGAUACCCUGGUAGUCCACGCUGUAAACGAUGAGUGCUCGGUGUUAGACCCUUUCCGGGGUUUAGUGCCGUAGCUAACGCAUUAAGCACUCCGCCUGGGGAGUACGACCGCAAGGUUG